AUUACAAUUUGUUGACUUCCUGUUUUAACUUCUUACAUCUUUUAUCUAUUCUUCUUCAUUUCUUCGAUGAAACCAACAGAAGAAAUAUACAACCACAGUCUCCUCCUAUGGGUUAAACCCGCCGCCGCAACCAGUACCACCAUCACCACAUCUACGACACCACAAUCACCAUCGCCACCGUCUAUAAUCAUUAUCAAUAGUUUUAGCAUCAUCAUCAUCAUCAUCAUCAUCAUCUUCUUCUUGUUAUUCUCGGUUUGUCACUGAUUUACAAUAUGAGAUUCAGUUUUAGGAGAUCUGAUUUUAGGUUUCGUUUUCAGGUAAUUUCGAUCCAUCGUGAUACAAAUUGAGAUUUAAUCUCCGUUCGGUUCUAAAGUGGUGGUGGAGAUCGAGAUUUAGGUUUUCGAUUUUAAUAAGAUCUCAAAAUCAAACUUCAUAAGCAUCUGGAAAUCAAACUUCAUAAGCAUAAUCAGAUUCAGGAGCUCUUAUUCUUCUUUUUCUUCUCGUUUUAACUGUAAUUUCUACAUCAGUUGAAGAUUCCCAAGGUUGAGAUUGAAUUUUAGUUGGAAAUCAAGUAUAUGGGUUCGCUGUAAGAGGUCGAGAAUAUGGGUUCGUAUGGAAUUAGAAAAGAAGAUGAUGAAGAAAUCAGUCGAAAUAAAGUUUAUGUGUGAAUCUGGUGCUGAAGUUGUGUUACAAGAUGCAAAAUGGUUGUGAUUGGUGGUCAGUUUGCUGGGAUAGUAUAUGAGUCUGAAGAUUCAGAUGGUGUUGGUUUGAUUUAGGUUAUUGAAGGUGGAUAGUGAUGUCGGAUAUGAUGUGCAGGUUUGUGUGUUGAAACUGGAAAUUGCAGCUGGACUGUGGAGUGAUGUUGGAGCUGGUGCAGCUAUGCAGUGUUUGCAGUUGAGGUGAAGCUGGGGAAAUAAUGGUUAUGAAUUUGUCACGGUGGAGAUCGUGGAAUUGGUGGCUGUUAUGGUGGAGGAAGAGGUGGUCAACAGGUUUUACUAAACAAUGGGUGGUACCCUUGCAAAUGUAUGUGGUGGGUUUGCUGCUCCCGGCAAGGUAACUACCUAACAUGAUCUCUUGUUCUGUUUAGUAGUGUCAGUUCAUAUUGUACAGUUCCAUUGAAUGUAAAUUUUUACACCUUGAGAAAUGCCCUCAUUAAUUUUAUAGUGUCGUGGUAUAUUUGCGUUGCAUGAGUUGGCAGACAUCUUUAGUUCCUCAUAUACAUGCUUUGCCAGCAUUUUGACCUACUUGUUUCAAAACACUUGGUGAGUCUGAAUUAAAAAUGUUUAGUUCGUCUAGUACUAGAUUAUCUGAACUCGCCAUUUGCACGCGUUGAACUGAAUGAAGGCGUAGCAUUAGAACAUAGUGAAUGAAAGAGCCAGAAAUGUUGUCAAAAAAAUAUAUACAUGAGAGCUUUAGAGCUACCAGCUAAGUGCCGAUACCAAGUUACCACUUACUGUUCUAAGAUACAUGCGUGAAGUCAGUGCCAGUGGUAUUAAAAAAUGAAACAAAAUCUUUCUUUUAAGUUUCUGAGGGUACCUGGAACUGACACUACUAGAUCGAACUGUACAAUAUGAACUGUACAAUACUUAUUAUUUGCUUGAAAAAAUUACUUGUAUAACACUAGACUAGUGAAUCUCGUAAUGGUGUUUGCUGGUCGAAGAGUCAUAUGUUUGCAGUAUGUUGCUCUAAGGGAUAUGAUACAAGGUCAGUCUUUUCUUUUUUUUUUCUCCUGUUUUUCAAUUUUGCAUUUAUUGAUCCUUGAGUCUAUUUUAGCCAAAAGCAUACAUACAUGGUUUCAUUUUGGCUUGGAUUAACAAUAGUUUUACUUUAUCUAGUUUGCUCAAUUUCUUUCUCGGACUCUAGAUUUUGGGGGUAACUUGAGAAAGUUGCUUUCACUUUUGGAGGCAACUUGAGCUAGUUGAUUCCAGAUGGGAGGCAACUUGAGCUAGUUGAUUCCAUAUUUGAAGGCAACUUGAGCUAGUUGAUUCCAUUUCGGAGGCAAAUUGGUUACGUUUUUGGCUCUAUUCAUGCAUCUGAAAUUAUCUUAUAUGGUAACACAAGGUUGUGUUGAGUUUCUGAUGAUGGUUGUGCUGCUGAUGGUGUUUGAGUAGGAGCAUGGAAGUGACUACAGCUAUUGGCUCAUGUUGUAAGUGUGCAUAGAUGGUUGUGGUCAUGAAGCUGUUGCAGGUAGAGUUGCAGUAGCAGAGAUGGAUGAUAUGGUGUUGUCCGGUGGUGGUUUGAAUUGUUGGUUGAGCACUUAUGGUGUGGCGAAUAUGUGAGUCUGUUUACUGGGUUUGCAAUUGAAAAUCUGCUAAUGCAGUAAAGAGAUAUGGAGCCGGAGAUGCUGGUAUGUGAUUUUGAUAUGUUGUUUUUGUAUAAAUGAAUCUGUGGUGCAAUGGUAGCACAACUAACUAUAUGUCAGAAAAUGUGUGUUCGGCUCACACUAGGUUCACUCA